UGAUUUUACUUACAAAACUUUUCUCCAAACGUUUAACAAAAAUCAAAACAAAAAACAAAUAAAAACAAAAUUCUACGCCGCCGACGGCGAGGUUGUGGUGGUGUGGGUGCAGGAAGACGUCGCCGGCGAAUUCGAAUGAACCACUCCCCCGCUGUGGCUCGCCUUCCCUUCCUCUGCCGUCGUCUGCCGUCGCACCGCCGUCGCCACCGGAGCAUAAAUCCCAUUUCUCGCUUUCGCUGCCGUCGCCACCGUGUAUUUCGGUGGAGGCGGUGGCGGCACCCAUAUGCUUCCGACCACCACGAAUUGCUGCGGCGCCGAUGAGCUGCCGCUGUCUUGCAUUGCAGAAUUUGUUGGCCUUCUUGCGUGCAAUCGGUAUUUCUGUAAAUGGCUUUUGACUUCGUCGUUAGUGAGUCCAUCGACCUUCAUUAACUCUCGGAUUUGUUUUGGUGUAGCAACGUGAGGACCGCCAAGUUGUUGAAGGGCGUGAACGAAUCGCCGGUGUAACUCCGACGACCAGCACCGCCUCUGUUUUCUUUGAGUCUGGGACUCUUUAUCUUCUCGUUUACUGGUUCCACCGCCACCUUUGGAGGCGGUUUCCGCCGUCGAACUCGUUGUCGCCUCCGGAAUUGGCGAAGAACCGUCCGAUUUACCGACGACCACUGACUCUGUUUUCAAUGGAGUUGUUUUCUCCUUCUGAAAUGGUUGAAAAGCACCGCCACCGACAUUCUUUUUGACCUCAACAACCGAUGACGUCGUUUCCUUAGCAACAUCCUCUGUAACGGGAGGAUCCGGUGACUGAUUCCAAAGCUGAGCCGAUUUAAGCCAAUCCGAUCGACCCAAUUCAAUUUUCUCUGGUUUUGAUUGUUCAUCUUCUUCAAUUUCAAAAUGGGAAUUCACAGAAGGUUUGUUAAUCGGAAUAAAUUCCUCCAAAACAGGGCCAUCGCUUGAAGUAUGUUCAGAGCUGUCUGUCGACACUCCAGAUAACUGUUGCCGGCAAGAUUCAAUAGCUCUGGUGACAAGCUCCAAACAGAGGGGAAGUUCUCGCUGGAAGACCUGAAUUUUGCGGCGUUCUUGAUCCAAAGCAUCAGCAUAGUGCCUCAAAUCCAUUCCUACUCGAAUAUCCAGAAAAUUAUGAAGGAAAUCCAUGAGAAAUAACAGAAGAAACCCAGAUUGAAUUAGAGGAAAAUCGAAACAGAGAAAAGGGGAUUAUUUAAGGAAGGAGUCGGUGGGUUGGAUGAAAGUGGAACAUAGAAAAAUCCGAAGUAAGCCAAUGAGAAAGAACUGGAAAGGCGAAUAAUGGAAUCUGUAGAAUCAAGAAAAGGAAUAAACUUCCGUAAAACAAUAGAGAAAUA
rnacentral:misc_RNA from 1 species